AGCUCAAGUCUCCUUUCAACGUUCCAUCCUAAGGCUUCAAAUUAGUUCUUGUGGCUAUCAAGAUGAAUUGAUCCUGGAGCAUCAGGGCAGGAAUACAACCAGUGCCAGAGGGGAAAAAGAAUACAAAGCCUGGAUGGAACAGGCCAUUGCAGGCAAUAGGGGAAUGGAAUGUCUCAGAUGCCCGAAAGAAGCAAAGGUUCAGAGAGAGCCUGAAAGGAUGAAUUUGGGCCUCCUGAAACAGUUUCUAGCCUGCUGCUUUGGUUCGAGCAAAUGUACCAGAAAAGAGAUGAAAGGCUGUCUGAGUACAUCAGAUGCUUGAACAGGUUGUUAUGUCAGAUUGUGGAGAGGAAGGGGAUGGAGCCAGCUGAAGUAGAACAAACCAGGAUGUUUUUGCAGGGUGCUUCCUCGGUCAUGUUGUCUCCACAGAAGCAAUAUCAAUCGACCCCACAAAGCUUGAGGCCAUCACUUCCUGGCCCAGACUGCAAAAUGGCUGAUUUGCAAUCAUUCCUAGGGUUCUUCUCGUACUAUCAAAGGUUUCUUAAGGGAUUUUCAAAGAUAGCUCGUCCCCUCAAUGAUCUGUUGAAGAAUGAGAGAGCAGUGGAUGUGUCCAACAGUUUGGGCCAGCUUCACCAGGAUAAGGGGCCCAGGUACUCCCUAGAGUCAGUUCAAGCAGAGUGGAUCCGAGCAGUGUGAACAGGCCUUUGACCAAUUGAAGAGGAGCCUAACAACACCCCCAUCUUGGCUUAUGCAGACCCGAAUUGCCCCUACGAGCUACAUGUUAAUGCUACCAGGACAGCCUUGGAGAAGUGUUUUAUCAGGAACAUGUUGGACAUUAGAUGCCAAUUGCCUACAUCAGCAGGGUUCACCCCAGUCAAGAAGAAUUUCCCCACCUAUAAAUGAGAGUUUCUGGCAUUAAAAUGGGCAGCAGUGGAUAAGCUGAAAGACUAAUUGCAUGGGACAGAGUUUGAGGUCAAGACCAACAACAACCCAAGCUUGACACCACAGGACAUCAGUAAAGGCCAUGGAAUCACUGAAGAUGUGACACCAAAAUCAUCUCCUACCUCUGAAUGAAGCAGUAUGAGUCUCCUGGUAGCAUACCCUACCACCUGUGGAACCCUGUUCAACGAGGAGGGGUCCAGUGACUUGCACACAGCCCCCUUCUUCUGUACUGGAGGAAGAGGGUGACAGUGAUGAGGAAAGGAGCUGUAUGAUCUGGUGGUGGUCACCUGAGCCCAUUGAAGCUGACCCACCUGUGUCCGACACAAGUACUAGGGACCACAUUGGCCAGAAGCAUCUGAGUUUAUGCCUCAUGCUCAGGAGCAGGAAGAUAUCCUUGGGAAACCCGUAAGAGAGGCCAGUGAGCAUUCCACACAGCAGCCAGAAGUGGAGAAUGAACUGCCAGCCUCAGAGACACCUGAGGAAGACCACCCCGGCUGAGCCUAGAGAACUGAGAACAAAAAGGCAAUACCCCGCUUCCACAAGAUGACAUAUGACACUUUGGGCCACAUCAUGGAAGAGGCAGCAUUCAUGGCCAGAAGGACCUCAGAAGGACAACUGCAGUUCGAUGAGCCCAUGAGGAACAGUAUGUAGACACAUCCCCCAUGCAUAAACGAAUGCAUAGGCCAUUAGGUAAAGCAUGAGGUGACUCAGGGUUGGGAGAAAUUGGGGGAGGCCUAGUGCCAAGAAGCCUCCCCCACCCUGUAAGAUAUCUGAUGCUCUGCCUUCUGCCCCUUGGUUUCCCCAAAGUCCUACGGGCCUCCUCCUUACCCUCACUUUCCCAUCACCAUUCGCUUACUUUUUGACGAGCUCAGGAAGUCAGCAUAGAGAAGGCCAUUCCCUCUCUGGGCCACAUGGCACAAUCAAGAAAAAGAAAUCCCAGUCAUUUUUGUUUCCAUGGUAAUCCUUUCCCUCAGACAGCAUAAACCAAUACAAUAUCUUCUUAGCUCUGCCAGCACUAGCUUUAUGCUGUGACGUUAAGAAAAAAAAUCGCACCUACAGUAUUUUGAUUUCCUGCAAACCUUUCUUCUCCAGCCAGCAUUAAUCAGUGCAAUUUCUUCUUAAUGCUGCCAGCUCUAGCUUUAUGCUAAUCUUAUGCUAGCAGCACUAAGAAGAUAUCAUAGUGGUUUAUGCUGGCUGGGGGGAAAGAUUUGGCAUGGAAACAAAAGAGAUCAGAUUUCUUCUUUGCUCUACCAGUGUAAGACUAGUGUAACGCUAACUCUGGUGGCACUAAAAAGAUAUCAUAGUGGUUUAUGCUGGCUGGGGGAAAGGAUUGCCAUGGAAAUAAAAGAGAUUUGAUUUUUUUCUUCUUGAUUAUGCCAUGUGGCCCAGCAAGGGAGCAACCUUCUCUACGCUGACUUCCUGAGUUCGUCAAAAAGAAGUCAUCAAUGUUCUCGAGCUCUGGGCCGCCCUCAUCGUGGAGUUGGGUCACCCACUCUGCUACUUCACCCUCUAGGUUGUCUGUGAUGGCUGAGAUCAUUUCUUGGAAACAUCCCACAAGCUCUGAUCCUCCUCCCACAGCCCAGCAGACUGAGUCAGAAGCCAAAAUUCUAAUUUCAGCAGAUAAAUGUUGCAUUCAACAACUGGAAGAAACUGUAUAGCACAUUUUCCAGCAUAUAGCACAGGAAACAAGAGAUGGAUGUCUGAAGGGAAGCAAAGGAACCAUGAAAGGACAACUUGCUUUGAAAACAUGAGAGUUCACUGCAAUUUAUGACAAAUAUAUCAAUGAUGCAAGUGAAUUUUCAGAGUAAUUUUCUUCCUGUGCUAUUUCUUUUUUACACUGCAAGAAAAAAACCUCAAGAUUUAAACAUUUGAAAAAAAUGGAGUAAAUGAUUAAUUAAAAAUGAUUUCUUAGAAAAAGUAAAAGAAAGCAUCAUUCUC